UUGAUCCUGCCGGAUGUCACUGCUAUCCGAAUCCGGCUAAAGCAUGCUAGUCUUUCCGCAAGGAAGGCGCACAGCUCAGUAACACGUAGUUAAUCUGCCCUUAAGUCUGAAAUAACCCUGGGAAACUGGGAAUAAUGUCAGAUAGGUGAGAGGUACUGGAAGGUCCCCUCACCCAAAGCUUCGGUGCUUAAGGAUGAGACUGCGGCUGAUUAGGUUGUUGGGAAGGUAACGUCUUCUCAAGCCGAUAAUCAGUACGGGCCUUGAGAGAGGGUGCCCGGAGAUGGGUUCUGAGACAGGAACCCAGGUCCUACGGGGCGCAGCAGCUGCGAAACUUUCACAAUGCGCGCAAGCGUGAUGAAGGGAUUUGGAGUGCUUCCUCAUUUCAUGGGGGAGCUUUUGUUAAGUGUAAACAGCUUGACGAAUAAGCGGUGGGCAAGACAGGUGCCAGCCGCCGCGGUAAUACCUGCGCCGCAAGUGGUGACCAUUUUUAUUUGGCUUAGAGCGUUCGUAGCCUGUUUGGAAAGUUCUUAAUGAAAUUUCACAGCUAACUGUGGAGCUUGUUGGGAAUACUUCCAGACUUGGGACCGGGAGAGGUCAAGGGUACUAUCGGGGUAGGGGUUAAAUCCUAUAAUCCCGAUAAGACCGCCUGUGGCGAAGGCGCUUGACUAGAACGGAUCCGACGGUGAGGGACGAAAGCUAGGGGAGCAAAGGGGAUUAGAUACCCCUGUAGUCCUAGCUGUAAACGAUACCCACUAGACUUUGGCAAUCUCACGGGGGUUGUCAGGGUCGUAGGGAAACCAUUAAGUGGGUCGCCUGGGAAGUACGGUCGCAAGGCUUAAACUUAAGGGAAUUGGCGGGGGAGCACACAAGGGGUGGAGGCUGCGGUUUAAUUGGAUUCAACGCCAGGAACCUUACCAGCAGCGACAGCAGGAUGAAGGUCAGGCUGAUGGUCUUACCAGACACGCUGAGCGGUGGUGCAUGGCCGUCGUCAGUUCGUGCCGUGAGGUGUCGAGUUAAGUCUCGUAACGAACGAGACCCGCGCUCUAUGUUGCCAUGGCAUCAAUUCGUUGGUGCCGGCACUCAUAGGGGACCGCUGGUGAUGAACCAGAGGAAGGAGCGGUCGACGGCAGGUCAGUAUGCUCCUAAUCUGCUGGGUAACACGCGGCCUACAAUGGCUGGAACAAUGGGAUGCGACACCGAAAGGUGAAGCGAAUCCCGAAAUCCAGUCUCAGUACGGAUCGAGGGCUGUAACCCGCUCUCGUGAAGCCGAAAUCCCUAGUAAUCGCUGUUCAUCAUACAGCGGUGAAUAUGUUCCUGCUCCUUGCACACACUGCCCGUCAAGCCAACCGAGUGAUUCUUUGACGAGCUACUGGUUUAUUGCCAGCAUCAAGUCACGGUUUCGCAAGGUGGGCUAAGUCGUAACAAGGUA
rnacentral:rRNA from 1 species